rnacentral:lncRNA from 1 species
CAGACGGACGCGACGGCGUCGGGCCCCGACGCGGCGUGCGGCGGCGUCGGCAUCCUCGGCAUCGCCUGGUCCUUCGGCGGCAUGAUCUUCAUCCUCGUCUACUGCACCGCCGGCAUCUCAGGUCCGGUAGAGGCAGCAUGCAUGCAUGCAUAUAUGCCGCCGUGCUUUUACUUCAUUGAAUCGUGUGCGUGACACACACACACACACUGACACUUACGAUGCAGGUGGGCACAUCAACCCGGCCGUGACCUUCGGUUUGUUCCUGGCGAGGAAGGUGUCCCUGGUCCGCGCGCUGCUCUACAUCAUCGCGCAGUGCCUGGGCGCCAUCUGCGGCGUGGGGCUCGUCAAGGGCUUCCAGAGCGCCUACUACGUGCGCUACGGCGGCGGCGCCAACGAGCUCAGCGACGGCUACUCCAAGGGCACCGGCCUCGCCGCCGAGAUCAUCGGCACCUUCGUGCUCGUCUACACCGUCUUCUCUGCCACCGACCCCAAGCGCAAUGCCCGUGACUCCCACGUCCCGGUGAGUACACAUAUAUACACAUUCAUUUACAGUGAAUUCUGAAACUCAUAUAUGCAGUACAACACUAGUGAACUGUUACGUACUGUUAGUGGGUUGCUGAGUGCUGACUGCUAGUGGCAAUAUAUACAAAGUACUCGAUCGAUGCUAAAGACUAAUAGACUAUACUGUAGAGUUUACGCAUACUGCCAAAGGCAGAAACGGAUGUUAAACAGAGCCGUGUGUUGAGAAAGGACUUGAGCUGACGUGCAGUAAUCCUAUUGACGAGUAGAAAUUCAGACUUUAGUCCUCUUCGCUUUCCCAAAAUGAAAAAAAAAAUCAGGUUUUGGCUAGCGAGUAUAUUAGCAAACUUCAUUGUAAAAAGCCAUUAUGAGAAGAAAAGCAUAAUUUAAGUGUAUAAUAUGGACAGCCAAGUAGUCAACGAGACAUCCCUGGCUUUGGUGCUAGCUAGCCAGACUGCAGAUCGACUGCAGAUUUUAACAGUAAAAAUUAGAGCACAAAUCACUUCAGCACGCGAAACGUUUACAUCAACACAAAAACCUUUAUGUCGUAACUCGUAAGCAAGUUGGGUAGAGCGCUGUUAAAUUUAGCAUGCAACAUAAAAGCAACAUCUUAACAAAUUAACCGUCCCACUUUCUGAACGUCUAGGCAGAGUCUGAAUUUCUGCUGCUUAGUUCAUACUUCAUACUGAAUUUAAGCAAUUAAGACAUGGUAGGUCAUGUGCCCGAGAAAUCAAGUAUUUUCAUGCCACAAAUACAAUGCUACUACACAAUUAGACAUUCCAUAUAUGUAGGGAACUCAAAUACAGCACAAUGGUCCCGAAUCCGGAAUCCCAGCUGUGCAGAGCUCUCAAAAUCAGACGCAUGUGAAGAUGUAUCCUGCUGCCGGAUGCAAUGCAUGAAUUGGCAGUUUGGCACUGCAUGUCUGCAUAUACAUAUACGGAGUAUAUGCCAAUAAGCAGAUAGGAAGAUUCUCGUGUGCGUAGCC